rnacentral:rRNA from 1 species
UACGUAGGGUGCGAGCGUUAAUCGGAAUUACUGGGCGUAAAGCGUGCGCAGGCGGCGCCGCAAGUCGCGUGUGAAAUCCCCGAGCUUAACUUGGGAAUUGCGCUCGAAACUACGGUGCUGGAGUGUGGCAGAGGGAGGUGGAAUUCCACGUGUAGCGGUGAAAUGCGUAGAGAUGUGGAGGAACACCGAUGGCGAAGGCAGCCUCCUGGGCCAACACUGACGCUCAUGCACGAAAGCGUGGGGAGCAAACAGG